rnacentral:lncRNA from 1 species
UUAAUGUAUAGUGGUGACAGUCAUGACACAGAGGAGCUAAUGUUAUUGAAAGAAGAGUUUUAUUAAUUACAUUUCCCAAGACAAAGGGGCAUGCUGGGCACAUGGAAAACACCAGGUUUGAGACAGGAGACAGAAGCAGAGGCAGAAGCUAACCUAGGGGAAAGCUUAGGCAAGAGCCUAUAUUGGAAUUUCUACAGGAAGGCAAGUGGGGAGCGGGGUAGGGCAGGGCAGACUGUUCAGGGCUCGCUAGUUUGAGUAACUCUGGUGUGCUUUGGGCUAGAGUGGGGACUCUAGUUGCUUGGUGCCAGGAUUGUUUUAGGGCAGGGAAAAUGUGUUGGUUUGGUGUGUGAGAUUAGAUAAGGAUGUGGUUGGGGAUAUAGACUCCUGGAGAUCGGUUGGUUUGUAUAUGAACCACAUUCUCCCAGCUGAGCCUUUUGCUAUCUCAGAAUUGGCUAGCCCUGGGAGAAGAAGCCUUUCCAAGGCCAGCAAGCUUUUUAAGAUACCCAAACAUCACAGAACAUAGCAAAUAAAAAAUAUGAU